GGAAUCUGAGUUUCAAAACCGCUCAUCACAUUUUGAAACCUUUGAAUGCAUGUGGUUUGAUAUAGGAUAUUGGUGGUGAUUAGGCGAGCCCGCUUUCUUCACUCCGGAAAUGAGAGAGAAAGUGAGAAACAAAUCAUGUUCUCUUUUUGCGAGGUCUCUACUAUGUAAAUCAAAAAAGAAGAAGAAGAAGAAAGAUGUCUUCGAUGAUCAAUCUAGUGACUUUGGUACCAAGGAUUUGGAUUUCAAGGAAGAGAAGCUAGGAGUUGCAGAUUACAAAUCCCUCUGAUAAGAGUUUGAUGCUUGCGUUGCGGGUGAGAAAAUGGGUUCUGGAGAUGCGAGGACAUUGAGUUACUCAUGAAGUAGGAGAUUUGCUGAUUUGGUUUGGAGAAAGGUAAAUUAUCAUCCUUGGUAGCAUGUUUAUCUCAACAUCGAUUCUAAUCAUGACGGAUUAACAUGAAUUAUACUCAUCUGUUUUGGAUGGUGAUUUGAAAUAUGAAACAAGUUAUCCGCUUUGGGAAACUA